rnacentral:rRNA from 1 species
UACGUAGGGUGCAAGCGUUAAUCGGAAUUACUGGGCGUAAAGCGUGCGCAGGCGGUUUUUGUAAGUCUGUCGUGAAAGCCCCGGGCUCAACCUGGGAAUUGCGAUGGAGACUGCAAGGCUUGAAUCUGGCAGAGGGGGGUAGAAUUCCACGUGUAGCAGUGAAAUGCGUAGAGAUGUGGAGGAACACCGAUGGCGAAGGCAGGCCC